rnacentral:rRNA from 1 species
CCUACGGGGGGCAGCAGUGGGGAAUAUUGGACAAUGGGGGGAACCCUGAUCCAGCCAUGCCGCGUGUGUGAAGAAGGCCCUCGGGUUGUAAAGCACUAUCAGUGAGGAAGAACGCCUGGUGGUUAAUACCCAUCAGGAAAGACAUCACUCACAGAAGAAGCACCGGCUAACUCCGUGCCAGCAGCCGCGGUAAUACGGAGGGUGCGAGCGUUAAUCGGAAUUACUGGGCGUAAAGCGCGCGUAGGUGGCUUGAUAAGCCGGUUGUGAAAGCCCCGGGCUCAACCUGGGAACGGCAUCCGGAACUGUCAAGCUAGAGUGCAGGAGAGGAAGGUAGAAUUCCCGGUGUAGCGGUGAAAUGCGUAGAGAUCGGGAGGAAUAUCAGUGGCGAAGGCGGCCUUCUGGACUGACACUGACACUGAGGUGCGAAAGCGUGGGUAGCAAACAGGAUUAGAUACCCUGGUAGUC